GAGCAGGUGAUGAACAAAUUGGUAUUAGAAGAUGCCGAUCAUGAAUGAAUACAUGAGGCUUCAAUAAUCGAGCUUUUUAAAACUGAUGCUCA